rnacentral:rRNA from 1 species
GAUGAACGCUGGCGGCGUGCCUAAUACAUGCAAGUCGAGCGAACGGACGAGAAGCUUGCUUCUCUGAUGUUAGCGGCGGACGGGUGAGUAACACGUGGAUAACCUACCUAUAAGACUGGGAUAACUUCGGGAAACCGGAGCUAAUACCGGAUAAUAUUUUGAACCGCAUGGUUCAAAAGUGAAAGACGGUCUUGCUGUCACUUAUAGAUGGAUCCGCGCUGCAUUAGCUAGUUGGUAAGGUAACGGCUUACCAAGGCAACGAUGCAUAGCCGACCUGAGAGGGUGAUCGGCCACACUGGAACUGAGACACGGUCCAGACUCCUACGGGAGGCAGCAGUAGGGAAUCUUCCGCAAUGGGCGAAAGCCUGACGGAGCAACGCCGCGUGAGUGAUGAAGGUCUUCGGAUCGUAAAACUCUGUUAUUAGGGAAGAACAUAUGUGUAAGUAACUGUGCACAUCUUGACGGUACCUAAUCAGAAAGCCACGGCUAACUACGUGCCAGCAGCCGCGGUAAUACGUAGGUGGCAAGCGUUAUCCGGAAUUAUUGGGCGUAAAGCGCGCGUAGGCGGUUUUUUAAGUCUGAUGUGAAAGCCCACGGCUCAACCGUGGAGGGUCAUUGGAAACUGGAAAACUUGAGUGCAGAAGAGGAAAGUGGAAUUCCAUGUGUAGCGGUGAAAUGCGCAGAGAUAUGGAGGAACACCAGUGGCGAAGGCGACUUUCUGGUCUGUAACUGACGCUGAUGUGCGAAAGCGUGGGGAUCAAACAGGAUUAGAUACCCUGGUAGUCCACGCCGUAAACGAUGAGUGCUAAGUGUUAGGGGGUUUCCGCCCCUUAGUGCUGCAGCUAACGCAUUAAGCACUCCGCCUGGGGAGUACGACCGCAAGGUUGAAACUCAAAGGAAUUGACGGGGACCCGCACAAGCGGUGGAGCAUGUGGUUUAAUUCGAAGCAACGCGAAGAACCUUACCAAAUCUUGACAUCCUUUGACAACUCUAGAGAUAGAGCUUUCCCCUUCGGGGGACAAAGUGACAGGUGGUGCAUGGUUGUCGUCAGCUCGUGUCGUGAGAUGUUGGGUUAAGUCCCGCAACGAGCGCAACCCUUAAGCUUAGUUGCCAUCAUUAAGUUGGGCACUCUAAGUUGACUGCCGGUGACAAACCGGAGGAAGGUGGGGAUGACGUCAAAUCAUCAUGCCCCUUAUGAUUUGGGCUACACACGUGCUACAAUGGACAAUACAAAGGGCAGCGAAACCGCGAGGUCAAGCAAAUCCCAUAAAGUUGUUCUCAGUUCGGAUUGUAGUCUGCAACUCGACUGCAUGAAGCUGGAAUCGCUAGUAAUCGUAGAUCAGCAUGCUACGGUGAAUACGUUCCCGGGUCU